rfam:Ricinus communis cultivar Hale ctg_1100012357241, whole genome shotgun sequence.
AAAUCAUGAUGAGGGCAAUGUCCUUUGUAACUCUUUAAACCUUUCCUAAGCUUCAUAAAAUGACUCAUCAUCCUUUUAAUAGAAACUACCAAUCUGUUGUCUGAUUUC